CCAAGGGCUGUCUGAGAGUUUGAGCAACUGGUUCCCUUCCCCCCGCCAACAACCACCAGAGUGGAAGCUUUCUGGAAGAAUCAUUUUUGGAGAAUGGAGGUACCUUCAGGUGUGGGAGGUCCCUGACCUGCAGCAUACAGGAGCCUGGAGUUCUCC
rnacentral:lncRNA from 1 species